rnacentral:snoRNA from 1 species
ACCCUCCAGAUUUCUUGCCCCUAAGAUCUACUAUUGGUCAGAGUGGCUAGAAAAGGAGGAGCAGUGCAAGUGAAGUUGGCUCGGUAUAUUUAAGACGUACAAGUUCAUUGCAAACAUGG